rnacentral:sRNA from 1 species
AGCCUAAGUCCCGCAAGGGAUAUGGCACAAAAUCCUAAGUAACAAACAUGGUCUUCUGACCAGCACUUGUUACUUAGGUCUAUAUCCGAAAGGAUGUAGGGCGGUUCCGAAAGGAGCUGUC